GUUGAAAAAUUAUGUUAAAGCUAUAAUAUAUAAUAUUGAAAUUUGAAUACUUUACAGGAACCGCCGAUUUUCAACAUAAUCCGCAAUCCGGCUAAUCAGAGCUUGGUCCGCUUCAUCGGAUUUCCCAAAGACGUUUUUGAUGUUUUGUCAGCCAGUUGGAAUUUUACGUGAGUUAUUGAUUUUCAAAUUUAAUUACAUGGAACAUUUAAAAGUUCUUUUUAUUUGCUAAAUAAAAUGAGCCUCCAGGUAUUCUUUCGUCGAGGUAACGCCAAGUAUGGUGAAGAGCAAAGGAUCGGUCGACGCAGCCAUGAUCGAUCAACUUUUGCUAAAGAAUGCUGAUUUAAACGGACGUCUUUCUUCGCCAACUGCCGAACUUUUGACCCACAUAGACUAUACCGUCGCCGUGUCCGUUUUUACUUUCGCCAUCAUCCAGCCGAUGCCACAAAUCCACUAUGGAUUUUCCGCUCCGAUCAAAC